UCAAAGUUUCAUGCCCUAAAUUUCAGUCUAUGGAACUUUUGAUCUAUAAGAAGGGGAAAAAAAUCCCUGACAUUUUUUUUUACAUUUGCAGUAUUCGAAUUGAGGAUACUGGAUUGAUAUGGGCCAUGCUCAAAUAGGCUUUCCAGUCAAUAAAUCUAGCAUGAAAUUCAAUCAAAGUCCCAUUGGAUUACCCAAAUAGAGCUUCAAUAUCAAUAUUAUCCCUUAUGGUUCCAAUCAAGACGUGUACUAGGGUACACUAAAUAUUUUCUGUAUUUUAACAUUCAGUAGCGGUAACUUAGAGAGAAAUCGAAUAAUUGUGUUACUAAAAACUUUUCUUUUCUGUUGCAUUACGUCCCUCCCAUGGAUCCCCUGGU
rnacentral:lncRNA from 1 species